rnacentral:rRNA from 1 species
UAGAGUUUGAUCAUGCUCAGAUUGAACGCUGGCGGCAGGCCUAACACAUGCAAGUCGAGCGGUAGCACAGAAGAGCUUGCUCUUUGGGUGACGAGCGGCGGACGGGUGAGUAAUGUCUGGGAAACUGCCUGAUGGAGGGGGAUAACUACUGGAAACGGUAGCUAAUACCGCAUAACCUCGCAAGAGCAAAGAGGGGGACCUUMGGGCCUCUCGCCAUCAGAUGUGCCCAGAUGGGAUUAGCUAGUAGGUGAGGUAAUGGCUCACCUAGGCGACGAUCCCUAGCUGGUCUGAGAGGAUGACCAGCCACACUGGAACUGAGACACGGUCCAGACUCCUACGGGAGGCAGCAGUGGGGAAUAUUGCACAAUGGGCGCAAGCCUGAUGCAGCCAUGCCGCGUGUGUGAAGAAGGCCUUCGGGUUGUAAAGCACUUUCAGCGAGGAGGAAGGCGGUAAGGUUAAUAACCUUAUCGAUUGACGUUACUCGCAGAAGAAGCACCGGCUAACUCCGUGCCAGCAGCCGCGGUAAUACGGAGGGUGCAAGCGUUAAUCGGAAUGACUGGGCGUAAAGCGCACGCAGGCGGUCUGUUAAGUUGGAUGUGAAAUCCCCGGGCUUAACCUGGGAACUGCAUUCAAAACUGACAGGCUAGAGUCUUGUAGAGGGGGGUAGAAUUCCAGGUGUAGCGGUGAAAUGCGUAGAGAUCUGGAGGAAUACCGGUGGCGAAGGCGGCCCCCUGGACAAAGACUGACGCUCAGGUGCGAAAGCGUGGGGAGCAAACAGGAUUAGAUACCCUGGUAGUCCACGCUGUAAACGAUGUCGAUUUGGAGGUUGUGCCCUUGAGGCGUGGCUUCCGGAGCUAACGCGUUAAAUCGACCGCCUGGGGAGUACGGCCGCAAGGUUAAAACUCAAAUGAAUUGACGGGGGCCCGCACAAGCGGUGGAGCAUGUGGUUUAAUUCGAUGCAACGCGAAGAACCUUACCUACUCUUGACAUCCACAGAAUUUGGUAGAGAUACCUUAGUGCCUUCGGGAACUGUGAGACAGGUGCUGCAUGGCUGUCGUCAGCUCGUGUUGUGAAAUGUUGGGUUAAGUCCCGCAACGAGCGCAACCCUUAUCCUUUGUUGCCAGCGAUUUCGGUCGGGAACUCAAAGGAGACUGCCGGUGAUAAACCGGAGGAAGGUGGGGAUGACGUCAAGUCAUCAUGGCCCUUACGAGUAGGGCUACACACGUGCUACAAUGGCGUAUACAAAGAGAAGCGACCUCGCGAGAGCAAGCGGACCUCAUAAAGUACGUCGUAGUCCGGAUUGGAGUCUGCAACUCGACUCCAUGAAGUCGGAAUCGCUAGUAAUCGUAGAUCAGAAUGCUACGGUGAAUACGUUCCCGGGCCUUGUACACACCGCCCGUCACACCAUGGGAGUGGGUUGCAAAAGAAGUAGGUAGCUUAACCUUCGGGAGGGCGCUUACCACUUUGUGAUUCAUGACUGGGGUGAAGUCGUAACAAGGUAACCGUAGGGGAACCUGCGGUUGGAUCACCUCCUUA